rnacentral:rRNA from 1 species
UACGUAGGGUGCGAGCGUUGUCCGGAAUUAUUGGGCGUAAAGGGCUCGUAGGCGGUUUGUCGCGUCGGGAGUGAAAACACCGGGCUUAACUCGGUGCUUGCUUUCGAUACGGGCAGACUAGAGGUAUGCAGGGGAGAACGGAAUUCCUGGUGUAGCGGUGAAAUGCGCAGAUAUCGGGAAGAACACCCGUGGCGAAGGCGGCACUCUGGGACGGUACUGACGCUGAGACGCGAAAGCGUGGGGAGCGAACAGG